rnacentral:tRNA from 1 species
GGAGAGGUGGCCGAGUGGCCGAAGGCGCUCCCCUGCUAAGGGAGUAUACCUUUACCGGUAUCGAGGGUUCGAAUCCCUCCUUCUCCG